CGGUUAGCGCAUUAUUCCUGGAUAGUUGUCCGGAGUUAGGUGUAACUGUUCCUGGAAACUAUCCAUAGGGAUAGACACUAUGAAUAAUAAGUAGUUUAGCUUAAUUAAUGAUUAAUGAAUAAGGGGGAGGGAUGUCAAGGAGCUAUGGAGGCUCACUCAGGAGCUCGCUCAGGAGGCUGAAAGCCUGAAACAUCAAGAAAGGCAGCUCAGUGGAUCAUGGUUUUUUAAAUCACGAAGUCGAUGGAGUACUGGAUUCUCCUAUCUCUUAUGUUCUUUGUCUUCUUGUGUAUAAUACAGUUCCUUACUGAUACUAUAAGCUUGUGUUAACACAUUACAUUUUUGAAUCACAGACACAUUGCGUGUCAAGAAUCAAGAUUCCAUUUCCGGCAAAAGAUGUGGGAGCAGAACUAUCCUAACAACAUGAUGGAGAAUGGAAUUAAGACAAAAUGCUAAGAAUAUUCAGAGCAUGUCCAAUUUAAACAAUGCCGUUAACUACUCAUAAUCAAUAAACAGUUUGUUCCAUGGACAUUAACUUAUUACUUAGAGAAAAUGAUGUGUUGAGAUUAAUAUGCACUAAUGCAAUGUGUCACCAUUUUCUUGAUGCAUCAAGCUUAGGAGAUACUGAGGUCAUCAAUGAGUCUUGCAUUCAAGCUUGCUGUCUUUCAAAAUUAGGACACUGUACAUAAACUUGCAUUUUUGUGUUCUUUUUAUAAUGUUGUAAUUGUUUUUGUUACCUAAAAUAACUAUUCUUUAAUACUAUAAUGCGAUAGCAGUCCAUGAACUGAUGCCACAA